rnacentral:rRNA from 1 species
GACGAACGCUGGCGGCGUGCUUAACACAUGCAAGUCGAACGGUGAAGCGCCUUCCUUUUUGGUGGGUGUGGAUGAGUGGCGAACGGGUGGGUAACACGUGAGUAACCUGCCCCCUUCUUCUGGAUAACCGCAUGAAAGUGUGGCUAAUACGGGAUAUUCUGGGUCUGUCGCAUGAUGGGUCUGGGAAAGAUAUUGUUUCGGUGGGGGAUGGGCUCGCGGCCUAUCAGCUUGUUGGUGGGGUGAUGGCCUACCAAGGCGGUGACGGGUAGCCGGCCUGAGAGGGUGGACGGUCACACGGGGACUGAGACACGGCCCAGACUCCUACGGGAGGCAGCAGUGGGGAAUAUUGCACAAUGGGCGCAGGCCUGAUGCAGCGACGCCGCGGGAGGGAUGGAGGCCUUCGGGUUGUGAACCUCUUUCGCCAGUGAAGCAGGCCUGCCUCGUUUGUGGGUGGGUUGACGGUAGCUGGAUAAGAAGCGCCGGCUAACUACGUG